rnacentral:lncRNA from 10 species
GUAGGUAGAGAGAUGGAUGUAGGUAGGUAGGUAGGUAGAUAGAUGUAGGUAGGUAGGUAGAUGUAGGUAGGUAGGUAGAGAGAUGUAGGUAGGUAGGUAGGUAGAUGUAGGGUAGGUAUGUAGAUAGAUGUAGGUAGGUAGGUAGAUGUAGAUAGGUAGGUAGGUAGAGAGAUAGAUGUAGGUAGAUGUAGUUAGGUAGGUAGGUAGAUGUAGGUAGGUAGAUAGAUGUAGGUACGUAGGUAGAUAGGGAGAUAGAUGUAGGUAGGUAGAUAGAUGUAGGUAGGUAGGUAGAUGUAGGUAGAUAGAUAGAUAGAUGUAGGUAGGUAGAUAGAUAUUAUGAUUUUAGAGUGUUAAAGGGUGGCUCACUCCUGUAAUCCCAGCACUUUGGGAAGCCGAAGCAGGGGGAUUGCUUGAGCCCAGAAGUUUAAGACCAGCCUGGGCAACAAAGUAAAACCUUGACUCUAAAAAGAAAAAAAAAAUUAGCCAGGCAUGGUAUGCACCUGUAGCCUCAGCUACUUGGGAGGCUGAGGUGGGAGAAUCACUUGAGCCAGGGAAGUUGAAGCUGCAUUGAGUCAAGAUCACGCCACUGCACUCCAGUACAGAGCAAGACCCUGUCUGAAAACAAAAGAAAGACUUUUUUUUUUUUUCACAUCAGACAAUGUGCCGACCAUUGUAACAAAGUUUGAGGGUGGCACAUAUCACGCAUGUGCGUGAACACCCAAUCAUCACACUAAUGAACUGCAGAUGAAUCGGAAGACUUUUUUUUCAGCCAUUUUUUUCAGCCUCACAUAUGACACGGGGCAGCCCCCUAUAGAAAUGUCCAGGCCCCGAGGGCCUGGCCGUUGGGCGUCACCCAGUCAGUUAUCCUCCAGCUCCUGGUCUCUUCCUUCGUUCCAGUGUUAAUCGACAAUGCUCUAUGUGCACUGAGUGGUGUCGUGGAGGCUAAAUAGUGGAAAAAGCAAUUCCUGCCCUCAGUCCUCCUAUAUUCUAGGUUGGCAAAGAAGAG